AUAGCGUAUAUUAAAGUUGUUGCAGUUAAAAAGCUCGUAGUUGGAUUUCUGUUUUGGAUGUCCGGUCCGCUCCCUCUGGGAGUGUGUACUUAUGGAUGUUCGAGGCAUUUUUUGUGAGGCUGCCUUUCUGCCAUUAAGUUGGUGGGUUGGUGGGCUUGCAUCGUUUACUGUGAAAAAAUUAGAGUGUUUAAAGCAGGCGUUUGCUCAUUUGAAUACAUUAGCAUGGAAUAAUAAGAUACGGCCUUGGUGGUCUAUUUUGUUGGUUUGCACAGCAGGGUAAUGAUUAAUAGGGACAGUUGGGGGUAUUCAUAUUUCAGCGUCAGAGGUGAAAUUCUUGGAUCGCUGAAAGAUGAGCUUAGG
rnacentral:rRNA from 1 species